GCUUUGUUCUCUGUUGCUGUGAUUAACCCUCUGGAAUCUCAGACCAUGGAGAUCUCAAGAACCUGUUUGACCUUGUGCAAAUAUUUUGUAAGCAUUACCGAAGAAUAGGAGUGAUGGAAGAUAGCGUUCACAAACUAAGUUGCAACACUCCCAAGCAGACUGAAAAUAUAAAAUGCCUCAAGGCAGCUUUCUCUGGCUCAGUGCUAAGGGUGGAAGGUGUGCAAGUUCUCAGCUUGAAGUCCAUCUGUCUCUCAGCUGCAGAUUCUGAUAGGGCAGUGGUUGUCUGGAAUGGCCACUGAAAAUGUGUGGGCAAGAGGAUAGCUGAGCUCUUGUGGAAGCUGAUGCAUCACUGUCUGUGUUCGGAUGGCACUGAUGUGCGAGACUGUAUGGAUGUGCCUCAGAGAUGAGAUGGGUCUUCCACUUCCCCUCAACUUGCUUUAUUCAGUCCAUUGCAAUUACUUCGCCCUUCAAGAUCAUAUCCAGACUUUUUUUUGUUGUUCCUCCUCACCUACAUUAAAUAGCUCUCUGAAACGUUUUAUUUCUUCACCCUGAUGUUGUCUUUACACAAUAGAUCAAAGGAAAUGGAGCACAGCAAUUGGCUGCCUGACCAAACACCUUUUGUUUGACUGCUUUAGUGAAAGUCUGCCCAGAUGUGGCAAUGACUAACCCUGGGUCUGGGCAGAGGUCUGUACGACCUGUUCCCUGCAGUCUCUGCUGAAGUAGCAGGUGCUGGGCUCUGGCAACUAAGCUGGCCAAACCUGUGCUGCUCUCUAUUACACAACCAUUGCUCUGACUAAAGGUGCAACCUUUGACUAAAGUCUCAUGUAUUUUGUCUUGCUUGCAUUCUUUUAUCCCUGUGAUUUUUCUGUUCAGUGCAGUUAAAUAAGGUGGUAAGCCCGGUUAAAUAAGUUAGUUGCCUGAGAUGAAGUAAAAAUCCAAAUUGGCACAUCUUAAGAAAUGAAGAAACCACACAGCAGCAUACCUCUACCUAAUUGCUCUCGCACUGCAAACAGUUUUUUGACAGUGUUCCAAAUGUUGUGGAGGGAAGCUGGGAAAGAGAAAGAAAUUUAUAGCCAUUUUGCCUGCUUUACUUACUGCUCGUUUUUGUGCAGUCAAAGGUACUUUGGGCACAGAGGUUUUCUUAGAGGCUCAUCUUUUUUGAGGUCUAAAACAAAUCUCAAGCUUUUUUUAACUGGUUCUCCAUCUGACAGGUGUACGUGUGUAAGUUUAUAAAGAAUGCAGGGUAAGGAAUAGUUUCAAUGCUUAUAAAAUAGAAGUGCAGUUGUACUCUUCGCUUUGGCAAAGAUUUGUCAGUACUCCAAUAGAUACAGCUUUUUGCUUCAAAGCAAACAUUCAAGUACUAAGGUUUUCUAUUAUUUACCAUUCAACAUUACAACACAGGAUACUGAACAUGCUUAUAAUGCUUAUAAUUGGAAUAAAGGCCAUAUUUUAGGCUGUCCAUUGACUAUAUUGUGCUUCCAUUGUUCUCCAGACAUUCAGAAAAGACAGUCUCGUGGUGGUGCUCAUUUUACCUCCGCUCUGUUUUUCCAUACGCCAUAACUUCGUUAUGUAAGAGUCAUUUUUCAUGUUUUUCUGUUGAGUUUCAUAACUGUAAUUUGUACGUGUUUUAUUGUUUGGCCCUUGCAGUGAUUAUCUUGUGUGUAAAAUCUCACCAAGCUAUUAAAUAUUUUGCUGAGGUAAUAGAGGCAGCCUUUUUUCCAAACCUAUGCUGCCUAUCAUUUAAAGGUACUGAUAAGAUUGAUGGAAGAUAGCAGUGGAAGAGUUUGGCAGCUUCUCCUGUUUGCUCUGGCACUGAUCCAUGUUGCGGAGGCUUUCUUCCAGGGUUAACCACAGCCCUCCGUAACAAUGUUACUCAACCUUCUGUUUUGUGCAGAUGGUCUUCAACUAAUGGAAACACUU
ensembl:lncRNA